CAGCAGCCGCGGUAAUACGUAGGGCGCAAGCGUUGUCCGGAAUUAUUGGGCGUAAAGAGCUCGUAGGCGGUCUGUCGCGUCUGGUGUGAAAUCCCGAGGCUCAACCUCGGGCUUGCAUCGGGUACGGGCAGACUAGAGUGCGGUAGGGGAGACUGGAAUUCCUGGUGUAGCGGUGGAAUGCGCAGAUAUCAGGAGGAACACCGAUGGCGAAGGCAGGUCUCUGGGCCGCAACUGACGCUGAGGAGCGAAAGCAUGGGGAGCGAACAGGAUUAGAUACCCCUGUAGUCCCUGUCUCUUAUAC
rnacentral:rRNA from 1 species